rnacentral:rRNA from 1 species
UACGAGGGGGGCGAGCGUUGUUCGGAAUUAUUGGGCGUAAAGGGUGCGUAGGCGGCUCUUUAAGUCUCUUGGUGAAAGGCUGGGGCUCAACCCCAUGCAUGCCGGGGAUACUGGGGAGCUGGAGACAGGUAGAGGCCAGCGGAAUUCCGGGUGUAGCGGUGGAAUGCGUAGAGAUCCGGAAGAACACCGGAGGCGAAGGCGGCUGGCUGGACCUGAUCUGACGCUGAGGUGCGAAAGCGUGGGGAGCGAACAGG